GCACCCCGUACGAUCAUCGAAGUUAAGUCACGUCGAGCCUGGUCAGUACCUAGAUGGGUGACCGCUUGGGAAUAUCAGGUGCUGUAAG